rnacentral:ncRNA from 2 species
AUUAUAGUCUGCACCGAUGGUUCCCCAGAUUUUGGGGUGAAAAGGGAAUCCGGUAUCGUCCUGUUGGGGCGUAAGCCGGGGCUGCCCCCGCAACUGUAGGCGGAUAGGUUCGGUCGCUUUUAAAGAUCGCCACUGGCUCGUCGUCAAGGUUUCCACCGACGUACGAACAAAGCCGGGAAGGCUGUUGACCGCACCCGUGACCCGCAAGCCAGGAGACCUGCCAUCGCACCCGCGUGCGC